rnacentral:lncRNA from 1 species
AAAAAAAUGAUAGAAAAAUAAAAAUUAUGAAAAAGAAGGAAGAAUGAGAGUAGAGUUAAAAGAUGAUUAGAAAAAUGAGGAAAAAAAGAGAAAAUGAUUAGAGAAGAAAAUAAAUGAAGAGAAAAUAAUAGAAAAAAUAUAGAUAGAAAGAAAAUGAUAGAAGAAAAUAAUAUGAGAGGAAAUAAUAUGAAUGAUAAUUAUAGAGAAAAUGAAGAAUAAGAGAAGAAAGAGAAGAAAAUAAUGGGAAAGAAAAUGGAGAAAGUGAAAGGAAAAUUAUGAA